rnacentral:misc_RNA from 1 species
UCCCGUGCAUUUUCUGUGCGACCAGUGGUCUCCUCACACCGCCGUGACAUCUGUACCCGAUUUGGACGGUACUGAACUCAUACAUAAGCGCGUUUACUGCUGUCCGACGGUGUCGAUUCUAUGACGAAUAUGUUGACACAUCUACGCAUAUACAACCACAGCUCACCCUCCUCUGUUGCACUACGGCUAUGCCUGGCAACGGGGCUGGCGGAACACUGUUUGACGCGGUUCAGCCCACUGCGAUUUCACUGCACACGACACGGGCUGGGUCCCAGAUGACGCUUAGUACCACCGCAACGCGGCAAAAAGCAGAUAAACAGUAGGUGAGAUGCACAUUUUUGUCGGAUCGCCGACGCGAUGCAUCGUGAGCGAGUAUGGCCGGGAUCAUGGCUGCAAGUCUCUCCGGCAUAGCGCCAGCUCAUACCUAUCCGCCGACACAGACUGAGCCAGCCGUGCCCGAGAGCAGGCUGUGCAGGCUGCUUGGCUUCCCCACAAAGAGCGGAAGGGGGGGCACUGGGCCCUGUGUGAUACGGCGGUGAGGUGGUGGGCAUUCGGUACACGCACACACACACACGAGAUAUCAACAACCUAGCGACUGCCGCGAUGCCACUACCAUCCCCCUUCUCGGUUUUCACUUCCCUAUCUAGGGUGGGCGUAGCUCAACAAGUUGCGUUCUUGCCGCGCGUUCUCGGCCCGCUGCCUCUACUGUUGGCGCGCUUCAGUUGUCUGCGCCCGUCCCUCGCCACGCCCCUGUCACCGCUCACCUCCCAUCUUUCACAUCAUUUCUAUUCUUUUCUCCCCCUCUCCAUCCUUCUACGUGUUUUCCAUACCGCUUCGUUUUGCGGAGCUUUCUGCCACGUGCGGGAGGCUCGACCAG